GACGAACGCUGGCGGCGUGCCUAAUACAUGCAAGUCGAACGAGAGCGACCGGUGCUUGCACUGGUCAAUCUAGUGGCGAACGGGUGAGUAACACGUGGGUAACCUGCCCAUCAGAGGGGGAUAACAUCCGGAAACGGAUGCUAAAACCGCAUAGGUCUUCGAGCCGCAUGGCUUGAAGAGGAAAAGAGGCGCAAGCUUCUGCUGAUGGAUGGACCCGCGGUGCAUUAGCUAGUUGGUGAGGUAACGGCUCACCAAGGCCGUGAUGCAUAGCCGACCUGAGAGGGUGAUCGGCCACAUUGGGACUGAGACACGGCCCAAACUCCUACGGGAGGCAGCAGUAGGGAAUCUUCCGCAAUGGACGCAAGUCUGACGGAGCAACGCCGCGUGAGUGAAGAGGGUGUUCGGAUCGUAAAACUCUGUUGUUAGAGAAGAACAAGUGCUAGAGUAACUGUUAGCGCCUUGACGGUAUCUAACCAGAAAGCCACGGCUAACUACGUG
rnacentral:rRNA from 1 species